AGAGAGAGAAAAAAAUCUCAUCUCCUUCCCCUCUCUCGAUGCCGACAGCUCUCCCUUCCCCUUUGCUCUUCGCUCUUCGCUCUUUGGCCAUCGGCCACCUAAUUUUGCGAGUAAAUACUCUAAAGCCAUGUACUCACUGCAAGGUGUUUCAUUCAAGCCUUGGUUUGCGCGAUUUGAGCCCAAAUCGAGGGAAAACUCGACUUAAAUGAUUCGACACCGUCGCAGCAUCAAUUUUUCGGCCAUUCACGUUGUUUUCGACGACUUGAGGCUUCAAGUUGGAUUUUCCGACCACCGCGCAUGGUGGCCAGUGGCGACAGUUUGGUGACCGGCCGGCGACGCUCCGAUAAGGCUCCAAAGGUAAUAGGAGGAAAGAAGAACCCUAUGGGUCCAACCGAGUUGAAAUAUAAAUAUGGAAAAUUAUUAAUAAUUAUUUUAAGCAUGUAAAUGUAAAGGACUGUAAAUUAUGGAGUUCCGCAAUUGUAUUCCAAAUGGAUUAUAAUUGAAUAAUAUGGAUAUAUGUAUUAAUUAUAUGAAUUGUAUUUUGAUA